GCUCGGCGUGGCGCACGGCGAGCGGGUGGCGAUCUGGGCGCCGAACAUCUGGGAGUGGAUCGUCGCCGCCACCGCGCU
rnacentral:tRNA from 1 species